AUUGAACGCUGGCGGCAGGCCUAACACAUGCAAGUCGAACGAGUGGGGGGGGGGUGAGUAAUGUCUGGGAAACUGCCUGAUGGGGGGGGAUAACUACUGGAAACGGUAGCUAAUACCGCAUACCAUCAGAUGUGCCCAUAUGGGAUGAGCUAGUUGGUGGUGUCACGGCUCACCAAGGCGACGAUCCCUAGCUGGUCUGAGAGGAUGACCAGCCACACUGGAACUGAGACACGGUCCAGACUCCUACGGGAGGCAGCAGUGGGGAAUAUUGCACAAUGGGCGCAAGCCUGAUGCAGCCAUGCCGCGUGUAUGAAGAAGGCCUUCGGGUUGUAAAGGACUUUCAGCGGGGAGGCGUUACCCGCAGAAGAAGCACAGGCUAACUCCGUGCCAGCAGCCGCGGUAAUAC
rnacentral:rRNA from 1 species